rnacentral:rRNA from 1 species
UACCAGCACCCCGAGUGGUCGGGACGAUUAUUGGGCCUAAAGCAUCCGUAGCCGGUCUACAAGUCUUCCGUUAAAUCCACCUGCUUACAGAUGGGCUGCGGAAGAUACUAUAGGAGCUAGGAGGCGGGAGAGGCAAGCGGUACUCAGUGGGUAGGGGUAAAAGUCCUUGAUCCAUUGAAGACCACCAGUGGCGAAGGCGGCUUGCCAGAACGCGCUCGACGGUGAGGGAUGAAAGCUGGGGGAGCAAACCGGAUUAGA